rnacentral:lncRNA from 1 species
CAAGAAGCACACAGGAAGCUCCUAGCCAACACCAAUCAAGGCCUCCAUCCAAUCCCAAGCAACCUCGAAUAUGUCUUGCUGCGGAGGAAACUGCGGAUGCGGCACCGCCUGCAAGUGCGGCAACGGCUGCGGUGGCUGCAACAUGUACCCCGAGGUUGAGGCCGCCGGCGCCACCCUCCUCGUCUCCGCCACUGCCACUCACAAGGGGUACGUCCCUUCUCUUGACAAAAUUUUCUCCACAGCUCAUACAUCAUCAUGCACUCGAUCUUUUUUUUUUGCGGGGUACGUGCAGGAGCUCCGGCGGCAUGGAGAUGGCGGCCGAGAACGGCGGCUGCGGCUGCACCCAGUGCAAGUGCGGCACCAGCUGCGGCUGCUCCUGCUGCAGCUGCUAGAUCAUUGAUCAUGCAUGCGCCGCGUGCAUCAUAUCUAUGAUCUACGUAUCCAUCUACUACCAUGUAAUGCCACCUGAUCGAGGGUCUUUGUAUGUAUGUAGUAUGUACGCACCUGCCUGCAUGAGCAGAGCGGGUGCCAUUCCAUGCAUGUAAACCCCUAAAUAAAAUCUCCCGUGGUUUUGCUUACAUCGUGUUGUUAGAUCCUCCUCCUAUUAGUGUUGCUUUCGGGUUCUUCUUAUGCACUAGCAGGAUCAGAGGCCGGUCUUUUGUUCUUGGUCUUCUCCUCAAACUGUCGUUUUCCUCUUCUCUAUGGUUCCAUGUGCGGCAGUAUUUUCUUCUUCUGUUGCCGAGUGUUGUAUCAGACUGUACCUUGUUUUGUGGUUUAUUCCUAUCCAUCUCGAAAUAUAGUGCAGGAAUUUAUUUGCAAAAGGUGGAUCUCAACAAGACACGACGGUAUGUGUAUCUUGCAGGAUUUAUUGAUCGGUCUAUCUUAUGCAUCUUAUUAAAAAAAUACAUUAAGGUCUCAUGGUCAAGCCAAAUUAUCAUUGUUUUUCCUUGCAUGCAAAAUGCAGCAAUAAAUCUUCGUCCUUGGCUUGUUUCUCAUUUCACUGCCUACGUUGCAGGUAUCCGACCCUGUUGGAAUCUCCUUUUCUGUCAUUGUGUUCACUUUCUGUGAUGUGAUGUGUGCGCAAAUAUUCCCACAACAACAACAUAAUAAUAAAGCCAUAUACGCAAGCAACCGAAUAAUGGCAAUGAUAUAUUACUGCUCAAGGCGCAUCUCCAAAUCAACCUGUCAUGUCCAUGGCUGCGUCUAAGCACUCGGGGCAGAAAUACUCACUCUCCGCCACUGAUUCAUAUCACCGAAUCCACACGGCCAAAUUACGUCCUCCAUGUUUUAAGCGAUGCCACUAUAUCUCGUGGGAAAAUUGUUUCCACAGUUCGAUAUCCCUCCCUUUGAUGAAAAAAUUCACGCUUGGCUUCUGCAUCACAGAGUGCAGAUAACGAAUAUUGUUUUCUAUGUUCUGAACUGGAACACUAUAUCUUGUGUAAAAAAUUGUGUCAACAAUAUCGAUAUUCCCUCCUAUAAAAUAAAAUCAUCAAUAGCUCACUUCUCUAUAUAACUGGAUGCAAAGUAAUGGGCGGUGUGGAGCACCCAAGACAGCACGCAAAAUAUCGGUGUUAUUUUAACUCCACUACGUAGACAAGUCACUAUAUUUACACAAUUAUGUAAGAAAAAGAGCUCUUUUAUGGUACCCUGUAUUGAAUAUUGACCGUCCAUCUGCAAAGAUCCAAUGGUGGGUACUUAUCUGUACUGGUGAAACUGGAUUAGCAGCAUCGCUAGUACCGCACGUCUCACGUCCACCGGUAUACUGCUCGGAGGGCAUUAUCGGUGACUCUGCAUCACCGGCAGCCGCCCGCCGGGGCUCGCCUCCUCUUCGCCCCCAUGCCCGCUGGGGCGCCUCCUCCCUGCCUUUAAUCCGCUGUGCUAUGCAUGCUUCUAUGGUUUUGGACUUCUGGCAUGGCACCGUGCGCCCCAUCCCCCUUCCACGCUACGGCCGCGAUGUUCUUUGCCGCCCCGCAUGGCUGAGCAGUGAGCACCUUAGCAUCGCGUUUAUUGUGUUGCCUCGUUCAUGACGACAGUGCAUGCCAAACCACCCUGCGUUGACGAUGAGGCCAGGAUGUGUACAACGUCGUGGUCUUCACGGAGAGCUGCGGCUACGAGAGUGCCGGAGCCUGGCGGAACCUCGCCUAUUUUGUGCUAACCAUGCCCUCGCUACGCUCAUGGCCGUCCUCCUUUAUUUUACUACCGCUUGCCUUCAUGAUCGAGCUCUUCAUGGCCUGGAUCACGCUUUACUUUAGCCUCAGCUUGCCGGACGUGGAGCAGCUACUCAUCUGCCUUUGCUGUGAGGUCGACGACCACGUCAUUGUUCAAAAGCUCACCCAGGCAGGGCUCAACAUACCUGUUUCCUCGUCGUCACCCCGCUGUCACAGACUCACAGGAGUGCACGAUGCAUUCCGAAAUAUUGAUUCGCCAGAGCAAUUCCCUUCACGAACACAAGAAGAGCUUUCACCGUCACAUAUACUGCUCCCUCCCCAGUAGCAGUAUAGGGUACCAUAAAAACCCUCAAGAAAAAUAAAUAACUCAGAGAACUGUCUGGCCAUAGAUGGAGCUUUCUACAGAUGGGGACAAGAAUUUGGCACCACCCACUCAAUUUCCCUCUCACCUUUUUGCAUUGCUUUCAUAUGUAAAAAAACAAAAACAAAAUAGUGAGUUGACUUGCGAUCUGCCUUAAAAUGACAAGAUGACGGUUGGGGGUUAAAAAAACAUUCAAAUGCAUUUUAUAUAUUCAUAUGUUUACUUAUUUUGUAUUUGUUUGUGCAUGUCAUAAAAAUCAUCAAUUUCCACAAGCAUACAUAAUACUCAAUGAUCUACAUUGACAAUAGGCUUUGAGAUUUUUCAACGCAUGACAAGAAAAAUCAAAUGAGGUCAGCUGGAAAUUAAAGAUCAGUUUUGACUUCCAAAAAAUUAUGAUCUCUUUUGUCCAAACUUAAAAGGAAUCAUUACAGAAAAUUUGGAGAUUCCAAUUGUUAGAAUAUUUUCCUACAGGACUAGUAGGGCUGGGAACCAUAAUGAUAUUUUCUAUGGCCUAAUUGACAUGUUUAUGUUGAGCCAAAUCUUUUGGAAAUAGUUUCGUUGAUUCAGUGACAACUAUGUGCUUGCACCUAACGCUUGAGAAAAUUCUUGUAUUUUUUCCCUCUUGCAAUAAAUCAACAUCCAUAUUUUACGCAUUUACUCCAUCUUCAAUUCCCACAGAAUUCAACACAGCAUGACCUGAAAUCUGUGUGUUAAGUUUUCCGGUUCCUGUCUUUUUAAAAUGCUGCAAAAGUAUGUGGCAUGUAAUCUUUAAAAAUAGUGGGAGUGUGAUAGUUAUUGAAAUGCAUGUAGGAUGGAAACUAAAAUUUCAGUAAAAUUCAGCUUAUAACACUAAAAUUGAAAAGGUUGCCAAGCCUAUGGCAACCAAGAGCCGCCAAGAUUUCUUAAAUAACAAAUAUUUUCGGCGACCUCCCCCAAAGAAGACAUAGCUUUUUCCUUGUCUUGACAUUCAAAAGCACUGAGUGAGGGGUAUCGGCUGAAUAUAUUCACUAAGGGCAUGCACAAAAGAGAGUUGACUAUUAUUAUUUUGCAAUGCUUUCAGAAUUUAGUUUGAUAUUGGUUUAAUUCAUAGUUCAUAAUUUACCGAGAAAUACCACUACGAGGUCAAGCACCCCUAAACUUGACCGUUAUGGCUGCAUGCAUCAAUGUAUGCCGAGGGCCGCGCGCGGGGGGUCUUGUUUGGAAAAUAAUAAUGAUCUUAUAGUGCAAUGAUUGGUCAUUGCCUAAGGUAUUUCCCUCUGUUCCAAGAUACAAGGUGUAUUUUUUAUUAAAAAAAACAAAAUUCCCUAUGUUUGACCAAAUUUAAAAUAAAACGUCUCUGUGUUUGGAAACCAUUUAUAUUUUUAUAAGCUCGAUCAAACAUAGAAGAUUUGACUUCAGAAAAAAAAAUAGUACAACUUAUAUUAUGAAACGGGAGUUAGUAGGUACACCAAUAAUUCGAUAUACGCACAAAAUGCUGGCUGUAGUUCCUUUCAUGGCUCCUUUGAUGUAAGAAAGAUGCUAGUAGAGACUAGAGACAAAGGGAAUCAAAUUAUGGGAGGAGGCGGCCCUAUCUAUAUUCCUCUUCCCCAAGCGGUUGCUCCCGUCCAUCCUUUGCCAAAAGUGGAGCAUCUCCCAUUUCCUUCUUCAUCUUCUCCUCCUCCUCCUUCCUUCGUAUUCACUCACCUAUAAAUAGCCCUCGCUGCCUGCCAUUGUUACUCAAGCCAGCAAGCAAGAAGCACAAAAGAAGCCAACACCAAUCAAGGCCUCCAUCCAAUCCCAAGCAACCUCGAAGAUGUCUUGCUGCGGAGGAAGCUGCGGCUGCGGCAGCGCCUGCAAGUGCGGCAACGGCUGCGGCGGCUGCAACAUGUACCCCGAGGUCGAGGCCGCCGGCGCCACCCUCCUCGUCGCCGCCACCGCCACCCACAAGGCGUACGUCCCUUCUCCUUCCUCAUAUAUCAUGCACUCGAUCGUAACAAUAUGACUGUAUGUUGAUCUUGGUAUGGGUGGGGUACGUGCAGGAGCUCCGGCGGCAUGGAGAUGGCGGCCGAGAACGGCGGCUGCGGCUGCACCCAGUGCAAGUGCGGCACCAGCUGCGGCUGCUCCUGCUGCAGCUGCUAGAUCAUCGGUCAUGCAUGCACCGCGUGCCUCAUAUCUAUGAUCUAUCUAUAUAUCCAUCUACCACCAUGUAACGCUACCUGAUCACGGUCUUUGUAUGUAUGUACGCACCUGCCUGCAUGAGCAGAGCAGGUGCCAUGCCAUGCAUGUAAACCCCUAAAUAAAAUCUCCCGUGGUUUAACCCCCUAUACAUGUGUUUGUGUUAUAGUCUUAUAGACCAACUUCUGGCCCAUGUUUACUAUGAACUUGCGACUUGCGAGGUGCCUGGGUUGUUAAUAGACCAGCUGGAUGCUCUCUUGAAGCAACGUAUGCACCGCUUGGAGUCGGUGUAUCUUUAUACACAUGUAUUUAUUUUACAGGUGUAUAUCAUCGGCCACACCUGGGAAAAAACGAUGGAUGGAGAAGUGUAAAUUUACAGGGGUAUUGCUCUGUGAAACGAGAAUCGAAUCAGGGCCUUAAGGGUAGGGAUGGCAAUGGGUAGGGUAUGGGCGCGUACGACUUUUUUCUGCCCAAACCCAUACCCAAAUCUUUUUUCUAUACCCAUCUAUUUCAAUAUCCAUGGACACAAAUUGGUACCCAUGCCCAUACCUAUCGGGUAUAUUAUACCCAAUGGAUAUCCAAUGGGUAUAGUAUCUAACAUUGGCAUGAUAAAGGUAAGCCAAGAAAAGGGCCUAAAACUAAAUUUAGGUACUCGGCCAUCACAAUCCGGUUUGCACUUACAUCAAAAUUUUACAAUGUGGAUUGACACACAAAUGUCUUAAUCUUCAUUACAAACUAACUUAAAAAAACAAGUUUCAAACUUGCAAUGCCAAUCACUGUAGGUAUUAUAGGGUUUAAUUUAUUUAUUAAUUUUUCUGGGUAUCCAUUAGGAUACCCAUGGGUAUAAUUUCAUACCCAUACCCUACCCAUGCAUUUUGCGGGUAUGGACACCCAUUACCCAUGGGUAUGAAGUAGUAAAAAGUCUUAUCCAUGCCCACUGUUUUCGGGUAGGGUACCCGCGGGUACCCAUACCCAUGGGCAAAACUGCCAUCCCUACUUAAGGGCGUUUGAUACAUGCGAAUAUUACUGGCCAAAGUUGAGUAUGAGAUACAUACAAUACAAACUUGACACUUUUGAAAGUCGUGCUAUCAAUCAUGAGACGCAUAGUUUAGCCAAAUUCUCGCUUAAUCUUUGUCAAAGGGUGUCACAUCUGGUUUGGCCAACCCCAUGAUCCGAUAUGUAUCCUACUCUCUGUGGUUUUCGAUGAAUAAAAUUUGGUUAAACCCUAAAAAAACUUAUUUGACGCGCCUUAGUUUUUUUCGAGAAUUUUUUUUAAAUCCGUUCAUCAAUCAUGGCAGUACAAAAAUCACAACCAGGUCCAUGAACCACCUAGCGACGACUACACUCACUGGAGCGAGCUAAACGUGCGCCGCCAUUAUCGCCCCUCCCUUACCGGAGUCGGACAAACCUUAUUGUAGUAGACAGUUGGAAAGUUAUCGUGCUAAGACCCUCAAGGACCACCGCACUGCAUAGCAACCAUCGUCGAUGAAAAGAGUUGUAGAUUGGAAAGAUCAAAGCUAUAACCACACAAGCGAAGACGAACAAAAAUGGAUCCAAUAGAUCCACCAAAGUCCAGCACGACAGAAUCCUGUGAGAUCCGGCGGGGACACACCUCCACAUGUCCUCCUCCGAUGUUAUUCGCACCACCGGGACGAGGAUCGGAUGUGGGAGACAUUAUUCCUACCCAGGGACAUCACUACCGUCACACAGCCCCAACCAAGACGUUAAACCUAACAAAAACGAGAACGGGUCCCUCCCGCUGCCGGGGGGCCAAGAUCCUCCGCACUCCGGGGAAUCGGCGCCGGCGGCAACGGGAUGAGAAAGGAAACUUUUCUUGAGAAGGAGGAAAGACAGACACAUACUGUUGUGUCUAAAUUACCGUGUCUUAGUUUGAUGUACUAUUUGCACCAGCUACUUCAUAACUAGAUUGCCAUGGUUGACGAUGGGUGUGUUCCCCUCUACUAAUAGUGCGGCAGUGCCCUAGCGGCGACAACUAUAUCAUGAACAAUUAAAACUUCACGAAAUUGGUGGCCUGGUGACUUAUGCCUGUGCCUAUAUCGCACGCUCUUUUGUGAUGACAAAGAAACAGAUUAUCAUUUUCGGAGGUUAAAUGGAAACAGAUGGAGUGAACCACAUGUAUGUUGUACCAGCAAAACAAUAUUUAAAUCGAUUCGUUGAUGAUUUCCUUGAUAUAAAAUUUGAGGUGUGCUCUACAACACCCCACCCUACCCCCGGAGCUCCUAUUUGGCACGCUAAGCGCUAGCGGUCGAGCCCGUGCGCGUCCCCUUCCCUUGCACACCCAUUUGGGUCGGCCCAUGCGCGGGGCGGGACACGCCGUUUUUAUUUUUUAUUUUUCUUUUAUUUAUUUUUUAAAUAAUUCAGGAUUUCAAAAAGUUUCAAAUUUAAAAAAAAUGUCAACUUUGAAAAAACAAAGAAAUCAUAAAAUGUUCAUGGAUUCAAAAAAUAUCUUGAAUUUGAAAGACAUGUCCGGACAUUCCCAAAAUGUUCAUAAAUUUGAACAAAAUGUUCACAAAUUAAAAAACAUGUUCAGAAAACUAAAUAAAUGAUUCUCAAUUACGAAAAUAUUGAAAAAUCAAAAAAUGUUCGUUGAUUCAAAAAAUGUUAAUUAAUUUCGAAAAAUAUUUGUCAAACAAAUAGUAUUCAUGAAUGUCAAAAAUUGUUCCCAGAUUUCAAAAACUAUUUCUUGUCAAAAAUUAUUCAGCAAUUCAAAUGUCCAUGAGUUUUAAAACAAUGUUUACAAUUUUAAAAAAUUCUUAGAUAUAAAAAAAUGUUUGUGAAUUCAAAAAAUAUUCAAGAUUAAAUUAAAUUCAUGAAUUUUUAAACAUGUUCAUGAAUUUGAAAAAUAAUCACAACAAAACAAUGUUCAUGCAAUUGGAAAAUGCUCACAAUUUAAAUAAUGUUAAAAAUCAUUAAAAAGUUCAUAAAUUUGAAAAUAAGUUCAAAAAAUGAAAGACUGAAAAAAGAAAAGAAAAACUGACAUCAAAAUAGGAAAAUAUAAAUAAGGUAAAAACGAAAACGAAAAAUAGAAAUGAAAUAAUGAAAAUGAAAAAACAAAAAUAACCCGAAAGGAAAAAACUGGUAUGGAAAGGUUCUAGAACGUUCCCAAAACCGAAAAGGAGGUACUUGGGCCGCCCCAAAAUGUGUACCUAGUGGGAGGGGCGUAUGCGCUAGGAUUAGCCCCCUAAAAAGCUUCACAACUUUUGAGCAGAUCAAUGGUCUAGAUUAAAACAUGUCCUUUACUUUAGAAGGGGUAAUAUAAAAAAUUCACAUUAUAAAAACACUUGCAAUAAAAAAGAUAACGGGCGCUCUAGAAACCCAUGGCGGCUAGUGCGACUUGUUUGGAGCUAUUCGUCUCCUUCCCAACCCUUAUCCACUACCCCGGUCGUCCAUGUAUCUGUCAAAAGUGUUAGAUGAAGGAAAUAUGCCCUAUAGGCAAUAAUAAAGUUAUUAUUUAUUUCCUUAUUUCAUGAUAAAUGUUUAUUAUUCAUGCUAGAUUUGUAUUAACCGGAAACAUAAUACAUGUGUGAAUACAUAGACAAACAUAGUGUCACUAGUAUGCCUCUACUUGACUAGCCCGUUAAUCAAAGAUGGUUAAGUUUCCUAACCAUAGACAUGAGUUGUCAUUUGAUUAACGAGAGCACAUCAUUAGGAGAAUGAUAUGAUUGACUUGACCCAUUCCGUUAGCUUAGCACUUGAUCGUUUAGUAUUCUGCUAUUGCUUUCUUCAUGACUUAUACAUGUUCCUAUGACUAUGAGAUUAUGCAACUCCCGUUUACCGGAGGAACACUUUGUGUGCUAUCAAACGUGACAACGUAACUGGGUGAUUAUAAAGGUGCUCUACAGGUGUCUCCGAAGGUACUUGUUGGGUUGGCGUAUUUCGAGAUUAGGAUUUGUCACUCCGAUUGCCGGAGAGGUAUCUCUGGCCCACUCGGUAAUACACAUCACUUAAGCCUUGCAAGCAUUGCAACUAAUGAGUUAGUUGCGGGAUGAUGUGUUAUGGAACGAGUAAAGAGACUUGCCGGUAACGAAAUUGAACUAGGUAUUGAGAUACGGACGAUCGAAUCUCGGGCAAGUAACAUACCGAUGGCAAAGGGAACAACGUAUGUUGUUAUGCGGUUUGACCGAUAAAGAUCUUCGUAGAAUAUGUAGGAGCCAAUAUGAGCAUCCAUGUUCCGCUAUUGGUUACUGACCGGAGACGUGUCUCGGUCAUGUCUACAUAGUUCUCGAACCCGUAGGGUCCGCACGCUUAAAGUUCGAUGACGGUUAUAUUAUGAGUUUAUGGUUUUUGAUGUACCGAAGGUAAUUCGGAGUCCUGGAUGUGAUCACGGACAAGACGAGGAGUCUCGAAAUGUUUGAUACGUAAAGAUCAAUAUAUUGGACGACUAUAUUUGGAUAUCGGAAUGGUUCCGGGUGAGAUCAGGAUAAUACCGGAGCACCGGGAGGUUAUUGGAACCCUCCCCCCCGGAGGUAUAUGGGCCUUAAUGGGCUUUAGUGGAAAGGAGGGAAAAGGAGCAAGGGAGGGGGCGCCCCCCCCCCCCCCAAGCCCAAUCCGAAUAGGGAAGGGGGCCACCCCCCUUUCCUUCCUCCCUCCUUCCUCUUCCUUCCCUCCCCCUCUCCAAAUAGGAAAAGGAGGAGUCCUACUCCCGAUGGGAGUAGGACUCCCCCCUUGGGCGCGCCUCCUCCCCUUGACCAGCCCUCUCCUCCCCUCCUUUAUAUACGGAGGAGAGGGGCACCCCAUAGACAGAACAAUUGAUCUCUUGGAUCUUUUAGCCGUGUGCGGUGCCCCUCUCCACCAUAGUCCACCUCGAUAAUAUCGUAGCGGUGCUUAGGCGAAGCCCUGCGACGGUAGAACAACAUCGUCACCACGCCCUCGUGCUGAUAGAACUCUCCCUCACAGCUCGGCUGGAUAGGAGUUCGAGGGAUGAAACCGAGUUGAACGUGUGCAGAACUCGGAGGUGCCGUGCGUUCGGUACUUGAUCGGUCGGAUCGUGAAGACAUACGACUACAUCAACCGCGUUGUGCUAAUGCUUCCGCUUUCGGUCUACAAGGGUACGCGGACACACUCUCCCCUCUCGUUGCUAUGCAUCACCAUGAUCUUGCAUGUGCGUAGGAAAUUUUUUGAAAUUACUACGUUACCCAACAGUGGUAUCAGAGCCAGGUUUUAUGCGUUGAUGUUAUAUGCACGAGUAGAAAACAAGUGAGUUGUGGGCGAUACAAGUCAUACUGCUUACCAGCAUGUCAUACUUUGGUUCGGCGGUAUUGUUGGAUGAAGCGGCCCGGACCGACAUUACGCGUACGCUUACGCGAGACUGGUUCUACCGACGUGCUUUGCACACAAGUGGCUGGCGGGUGUCAGUUUCUUCAACUUUAGUUGAACCGAGUGUGGCUACGCCCGGUCCUUGAGAAGGUUAAAACAGCACUAACCUGACGAACUAUCGUUGUGGUUUUGAUGCGUAGGUAAGAACGGUUCUUGCUCAGCCCGUAGCAGCCACGUAAAACUUGCAACAACAAAGUAGAGAACGUCUAACUUGUUUUUGCAGGGCAUGUUGUGAUGUGAUAUGGUCAAGACAUGAUGCUAUAUUUUAUUAUAUGAGAUGAUCAUGUUUUGUAAUCGAGUUAUCGGCAACUGGCAAGAGCCAUAUGGUUAUCGCUUUAUUGUAUGCAAUGCAAUCGCCCUGUAAUUGCUCUACUUUAUCACUAGGCGGUAGCGAUAGUCAUAGAAGCAAUAGUUGGCGAGACGACAAUGAUGCUACGAUGGAGAUCAAGGUGUCGCACUGGUGACGAUGGUGAUCAUGACGGUGCUUCGGAGAUUGAGAUCACAAGCACAAGAUGAUGAUGGCCAUAUCAUAUCACUUAUAUUGAUUGCAUGUGAUGUUUAUCUUUUAUGCAUCUUAUUUUGCUUUGAUUGACGGUAGCAUUAUAAGAUGAUCUCUCACUAAAUUUCAAGAUAAAAGUAUUCUCCCUGAGUAUGCACCGUUGCCAAAGUUCGUCGUGCCCAGACACCAUGUGAUGAUCGGGUAUGAUAAGCUCUAUGUCCAUCUACAACGGGUGCAAGCCAGUUUUGCACACGCAGAAUACUCAGGUUAAACUUGACGAGCCUAGCAUAUGCAGAUAUGGCCUUGGAACACCGAGACCGAAAAGUCGAGCUUGAAUCAUAUAGUACAUAUGAUCAACAUAAUGAUGUUCACCAUUGAAAACUACUCCAUUUCACGUGAUGAUCAGUUAUGGUUUAGUUGAUUUGGAUCACAUGAUCACUUAGAUGAUUAGAGAGAUGUCUAUCUAAGUGGGAGUUCUUAAAGUAAUAUGGUUAAUUGGACUUUAAUUUAUCUUGAACUUAGUCCUGGUAGUAUUAGCAUAUCUAUGUUGUAUAUCAAUAGCUCGCGUUUAGCUCCCCUGUUUUAUUUUUGAUAUGUUCCUAGAGAAAACUAAGUUGAAAGAUGUUAAUAGCAAUGAUGCGGAUUGGAUCCGUGAUCUGAGGAUUAUCCUCACUGUUGCACAGAAAUAUUAUGUCCUUGAUGCACCGCUAGGUCACAGACCUAUUGCAGGAGCAGAUGCUGACGUUAUGAACAUUUUGACAAAAGCUCGGUAUGAUGACUACUUGAUAGUUUAGUGCACCAUGCUUUACGACUUAGAACCGGGACUUCAAAAAUGUUUUGAACGCCACGGAGCAUAUAAGAUAUUCCAAGAAUUGAAAUUGGUAUUUCAUACUCAUGCCAGUGUCGAGAGGUAUGAGACCUCUGACAUUACUUUGCCUACAAGAUGGAGGAGAAUAGCUCAACCAGUAAGCAUGUGCUCAGAUUGUCUGAGUACUACAAUCACUUGAAUCAAGUGGGAGUUAAUCUUCUAGAUAAUAUAGUGAUUGACAGAGUUCUCUAGUCACUAUCACCAAGUUGUUAGAACUUCAUGAUGAACUAUAAUAUGCAAGGGAUAACGGAAACGAUUCCCAAGCUCUUCAUGAUGCUGAAAUCGACGAAGGUAAAAAUCAAGAAAAGCAUCAAGUGUUGAUGGUUAACAAGACCACUAUUUUCAAGAAAAGGGCAAAUGGAAUAAGGGGAAUUUCAAGAAGAACGGCAAGCAAGUUGCUGCUCAAGUGAAGAAGCCCAAAUCUAGACCUAAGCCUGAGACUAAGUGCUUUUACUGCAAAGGGACUAGUCACUGGAAGUGGAACUGCCCCAAGUAUUUGGCAGAUAAGAAGGAUGGCAAAGUGAACAAAGGUAUAUUGGAUAUACAUGUUAUUGAUGUGUACUUUACUAGUGUUUAUAGCAACCCCUCAGUAUUUGAUACUAGUUCAGUUGCUAAGAGUAGUAACUUGAAAUGGUAGUUGGACAAUGAACAGAGACUAGUUAAGGGUGGAGCAACGAUGUGUGUUGGAAGUAGUUCCAAGAAUGAUAUGAUCGUCAUCGCACACUCCCUAUACUUUCAGGAUUAGUGUUGAACCUAAAUAAGUGUUAUUUGGUGUUUUCGUUGAGCAUGAAUAUGAUUUGAUCAUGUUUAUUGCAAUACGGUUAUUCAUUUAAGUUAGAGAAUAAUUGUUAUUCUGUUUACAUGAAUAAAACCUUCUAUGGUUAUACACCCAAUGAAAAUGGUUUGUUGAAUCUUGAUUGUAGUGAUACACAUAUUCAUAAUAUUGAAGCCAAAAGAUGCAAAGUUAAUAAUGAUAGUGCAACUUAUUUGUGGCACUGUCGUUUAGGUCAUAUUGGUGUAAAGCGCAUGAAGAAAAUCCAUGCUGAUGGGCUUUUGGAAUCACUUGAAUAUAAAUCAGUUGAUGCUUGCGAACCAUGCCUCAAGGGUAAAGAGGACUAAGACUCCGUUCUCCAGAACAAUGGAGCGAGGAACUGACUUAUUGGAUAUAAUACAUACUGAUGUAUGAGGUCCGAUGAGUGUUGAGGCUCGCGGCGGGUAUCGUUAUUUUCUGACCUUCACAGAUAAUUUGAGCAGAUAUGGGUAUAUCUACUUGAAGAAACAUAAGUCCGAAACAUUUGAAAAGUUUAAAGAAUUUCAGAGUGAAGUGGAAAAUCAUCGUAACAAGAAAAUAAAGUUUCUACGAUCUGAUCGUAGAGGCAAAUAUUUGAGUUACGAGUUUGGUCUUCAAUUAAAACAAUAUGGAAUAGUUUCACAAACUCAUGCCACCUGGAACACCAUAGCGUAAUGGUGUGUCCGAAAGUCAUAACUGUGCUUUAUUUGAUAUAGUGCAAUCUAUGAUGUCUCAUACCGAUUUACCACUAUCAUUUUGGGGUUAUGCAUUAGAGAUAGCUGCAUUCACAUUAAAAAGGGCACCAUCUAAAUCUGUUGAGAUAACACCGUAUGAACUGUGGUUUAGCAAGAAACCUAAGGUGUCGUUUCUUAAAGUUUGGGGUUGCGAUGCUUAUGUGAAAAAGGUUUAUCUUGAUAAGCUCAAACCCAAAUCGAAGAAGUGCGUCUUCAUAGGAUACCCAAAAGUAACUGUUGGGUACACCUUCUAUCACAGAUCCGAAGGCAAGAUAUUUGCUGCUGAGAAUAGAUCCUUUCUAGAGAAGGAGUUUCUCUCGAAAGAAGUGAGUGGGAGGAAAGUAGAACUUGAUGAGGUAACUGUACCUGCUCCCUUAUUGGAAAGUAGUUCAUCACAGAAAUCUGUUUCUGUGACUCCUACACCAAUUAGUGAGGAAACUAAUGAUGAUGAUCAUGUAACUUCAGAUCAAGUUAUUACCAAACCUCUUAGGUCAACCAGAGUGAGAUCCGCACCAGAGUGGUACGGUAAUCCUGUUCUGGAGGUCACGUUAAUUGACCAUGACGAACCUACGAACUAUGAGGAAGCGAUGAUGAGCCCAGAUUCCGCGAAAUGGCUUGAGGCAUGAAAUCUAAUAUGGGAUCCAUGUAUGAGAACAAAGUGUGGACUUUGGUUAACUUGCCCGAUGAUCGGCAAGCCAUAGAAAAUAAAUGGAUCUUCAAGAGGAAGACGGACAGUGAUAGUAGUGUUGCUAUCUACAAAGCUCGAAUUGUCGCAAAAUGUUUUCGACAAGUUCAAGGUGUUGACUACGAUGAGAUUUUCUCACUCGUAUCGAUGCUUAAGUCCGUCCGAAUCAUGUUAGCAAUUGCCGCAUUUUAUGAUUAUGAAAUUUGGCAAAUGGAUGUAAAGACUGCAUUCCUGAAUGGAUUUCUGGAAGAAGAGUUGUAUAUGAUGCAACCUGAAGGUUUUGUCGAUCCUAAAGGUGCUAACAAAGUGAGCAACCUCCAGCGAUCCAUCAAUGGACUGGUGCAAGCUUCUCGAAGUUGGAAUAAACGUUUUGAUAGUGUGAUCAAAGCAUAUGGUUUUAUACAGACUUGCGGUGAAGCCUGUAUUUACAAGAAAGUGAGUGGGAGCACUACAACAUUUCUAAUAAGAAGUGUGAAUGACAUAUUGUUGAUCGGAAAUAAUGUAGAAUUUUCUGGAAAGCAUAAAGAAGUAUUUGAAAUGAGUUUCUCAAAUAAAGACCUCGAUGAAGCUACUUACAUAUUGAGCAUCAAGAUCUAUAGAGAUAGAUCAAGACGCUUGAUAAGUUUUUUCAAUGAGUGCAUACCUUGACAAGAUUUUGAAGUAGUUCAAAAUGGAACAGUCAAAGAAAGAGAUCUUACCUGUGUUACAAGGUGUGAAAUUGAGUAAGACUCAAAGCCCGACCACGGCAGAAGAUAGAAAGAGAAUGAAAGUCAUUCCCUAUGCCUCAACCAUAGUUUCUAUAAAGUAUGCCAUGCUGUGUACCAGAUCUAUUGUAUACCCUACACUGAGUUUAGCAAUGGAAUACAAUAGUGAUCUAGGAGUAGAUCACUGGAUAGCGGUCAAAAUUAUCCUUAGUGGAAUAAGGAAAUAUUUCUCGACUAUGGAGGUGAUAAAAGAGUUCGUCGUAAAGAGUUACGUCGAUGCAAGCUUUUUACAUCGAUCUAGAUGACUCUAAGUCUCGAUCUGGAUACAUAUUAAAAGUGGGAGCAAUUAGCUAGAGUAGCUCCAUGCAAAGCAUUGUUGACACAGAAAUUUUCAAAAUACAUAUGGAUCUGAAUGUGGCAGACCCGUAGACUAAACUUCUCUCACAAGUAAAACAUGAUCACACCUUAGUACUCUUUGGGUGUUAAUCGCAUAGCGAUGUGAACUAGAUUAUUGACUCUAGUAAACCCUUUGGGUGUUGAUCACAUGACGAUGUGAACUAUGGGUGUUAAUCACAUGGUGAUGUGAACUAUUGGUGUUAAAUCACAUGGCGAUGUGAACUAGAUUAUUGACUCUAGUGCAAGUGGGAGACUGAAGGAAAUAUGCCCUAGAGCCAAUAAUAAAGUUAUUAUUUAUUUCCUUAUUUCAUGAUAAAUGUUUAUUAUUCAUGCUAGAUUUGUAUUAACCGGAAACAUAAUACAUGUGUGAAUACAUAGACAAACAUAGUGUCACUAGUAUGCCUCUACUUGACUAGCUCGCUAAUCAAAGAUGGUUAAGUUUCCUAACCAUAGACAUGAGUUGUCAUUUGAUUAACGGGAUCACAUCAUUAGGAGAAUGAUAUGAUUGACUUGACCCAUUCCGUUAGCUUAGCACUUGAUCGUUUAGUAUUCUGCUAUUGCUUUCUUCAUGACUUAUACAUGUUCCUAUGACUAUGAGAUUAUGCAACUCCCGUUUACCAGAGGAACACUUUGUGUGCUACCAAACGUCACAACGUAACAGGGUGAUUAUAAAGGUGCUCUACAGGUGUCUCCGAAGUUACUUGUUGGGUUGGCGUAUUUCGAGAUUAGGAUUUGUCACUCCGAUUGUCGGAGAGGUAUCUCUGGCCCCUCGGUAAUACACAUCACUUAAGCCUUGCAAGCAUUGCAACUAAUGAGUUAGUUGCGGGAUAAUGUGUUAUGGAACGAGUAAAGAGACUUGCCAGUAACGAGAUUGAACUAGGUAUUGAGAUACCGACGAUCGAAUCUCGGGCAAGUAACAUACCGAUGGCAAAGGGAACAACGUAUGUUGUUAUGCGGUUUGACCGAUAAAGAUCUUCGUAGAAUAUGUAGGAGCUAAUAUGAGCAUCCAUGUUCCGCUAUUGGUUAUUGAACGGAGACGUGUCUCAGUCAUGUCUACAUAGUUCUCGAACCCGUAGGGUCCGCACGCUUAAAGUUCGAUGACGGCUAUAUUUUGAGUUUAUGGUUUUUGAUGAACCGAAGGUAAUUCAGAGUCCUGGAUGUGAUCACGGACAAGACGAGGAGUCUCGAAAUGUUCGAGACGUAAAGAUCGAUAUAUUGGACGACUAUAUUUGGAUACCAGAAUGGUUCCGGGUGAGAUCGGGAUAAUACCGGAGCACCGGGAGGUUAUCGGACCCCCCCGGAGGUAUAUGGGCCUUAAUGGGCUUUAGUGGAAAGGAGGUAAAAGGAGAAAGGGAGGGGGCGCCCCCCCCCCCCCAAGCCCAACCCGAACUGGGAAGCCCCCCCCCUUUCCUUCCUCCCUCCUUCCUCUUCCUUCCCUCUCCCUCUCCAAAUAGGAAAAGGAGGAGUCCUACUCCCGGUGGGAGUAGGACUCCCCCCUUGGGCGCACCUCCUCCCCUUGGCCGGCCCUCUCCUCCCCUCCUUUAUAUACGGAGGAGAGGGGCACCCCAUAGACACAACAAUUUAUCUCUUGGAUCUUUUUGCUGUGUGCGGUGCCCCUCUCCACCAUAGUCCACCUCGAUAAUAUUGUAGCGGUACUUAGGCGAAGCCCUGUGACGGUAGAACAUCAACAUCGUCACCACGCCGUUGUGCUGAAGGAACUCUCCCUCAAAGCUCGGCUGGAUCGGAGUUUGAGGGACGUCAUCGAGUUGAACGUGUGCAGAACUCAGAGGUGCCGUGCGUUCGGUACUUGAUCGGUCGGAUCGUGAAGACAUACGACUACAUCAACCGCAUUGUGCUAAUGCUUUCGCUUGCGGUCUACAAGGGUACACGGACACACUCUCCCCUCUCGUUGUUAUGCAUCACCAUGAUCUUGCGUGUGCGUAGGAUUUCUUUUUAAAUUACUAUGUUACCCAACAUUAGACUCCUCCACUUUAUCUUACUCCUCACAUUCCCAUCAUCCGACAUAGUAUGACGACAUCUCAGCCCCUUGUAUUCACAUCACACGGUGUUCAAAUCGCACGAGCCACGAGGCCUUGUUUUUUAAACAGAAGUGGUGUACCCAAGCACCCCUAAUGAAAUUGGCGUUCCCUUGAUCCAAAGAAAAAAAGAGUAAAAAGAAACCAAACACUCCCCCCCCCACAUACACCUCCAGCGUUCCUAUGCACCGAAUUGUACACAACCAAUAGUUUCUACAUUGCUACACAUGAAUGAUGCUUACAGUUGAAAUAAAAGGCAACUCAUUGUCGCUUACAACUAAAUAGCAAAAGGAUACUAGGAGUAGAGUUUGACAUAGGCUAGAGUAAGUGCAUUAUAUAUCCUUAUUUCUGUUUCGCAAUUUUUUUUCCUUAUUUCUAGUGUGUGAUUGCCACCCAAGAUUGCAAUAGAACACCAGGUCAACUGACAAUCCAAUCCCUGGUGUUCUAUUAUAUGUCGAGUUAAAUACUAAAAAGUGCUACUAGGAGUAGAGUAUGAGAUGAACGAGAGUAAGUGCAUUAUGUAUAUCCUCAAUUAUAGUGUGCGGUCACCACCCAAGAUUGCAACAGAACACCAAUUUGGCUGACGAAACCAAUCUAGUCCAAUCGCUUAUUGAACUAAAAGUCGGUAUAUGUACUUAGGAGUUGCCUAACUAAAGCAUGCGGUUCAACUUGAUAGAUCUAGUAAGAUUCAACUCGAUAAUCGUUUAAUUCCUAAUGGUUUCUAUAAAAAAUAGUUACAAUAACUAACUCAAACGAAAUAUAAGCGAACAAUCAAACAUCGACCGGCUCACAUGGCUUCCAAAUAAAACUAAUUAACAGAUCGAGUAAUACAUUGUUUAUUCCUUGCUCUUAAUAUGAGGUUAUACAUAACAUAUUUUGGUCCAUCCUGAAGUAAGUAUUACGUAACAAGUACUAGCUAGUAUUUCAGUCUCUACUAGCAAAUGUUGCAAUAGCAAACAGCCUUGAUGGCGUUCUUCUUAUCACAGUGGUAGUCCUUGAGGCUGCCCUUCCUAUCACGUGCAAACACGUCACACGUGGCCUUGCAUAGAGGCUUGGUGCAGAAAAACUCCCCGCCGUCGUCAACGACCGCGAAAUUGUGCUGCACAACACCAAGAAAACACAAACCAUUAUAUUAGAAUAUUAGCGACAAACCCCCAUUAGAUUAGAUUAUACGUAUUUGACAAACACAAUUAAACACACCUGCAGAAAUAGGAGUACCCACAAGUGUUAGCACCACGAGGAAGCAAACAAUAGCAGCCCGUGUGUCCAUCCCAAGAGUUCUCUCCUUUUUUGAACUAGAAGGAAAAAUAUGUGUUCUCUUCGUCUAUUUUAAUUUGGCUAUGGGACUAAUGUUUAUGUCUUGAAGUGCUUGGAGUGUUGUCUUAUAUAGACUUAUUGAAAGGGACAAAAAUAAAAGCAUUUAAAUGAUUGUUAAACUUAGCAAAAGAGAUAGAGGUGAGUCACACCCCAAAAAUGGAAGCACUUAAUGCUGGGUGAGAAAUUAAAUGACGAAGGCAAAGAAUAUAUGAGUGAUGUUUAUCCAAUAAUCAAGGCUUUAAUUUUCGACUACAAAAUAAGCAUGACCAUUCAAAAAAUGGAGUCAUCUUUUUGUCGCUGGUGACAUUGAUCAAACAUGGUUUUUUAUAAAAAAAAAUGUAUAGCCACUUUAAUUGCAAACACCAUUGUGCAUUGAAAUUCAGUUGACUUCAACAAAACAAUCAAUAUGAAUUGCAUGCUUGAUAUGUAACCAACUAAAACUAAAAUUGUAUGUUGUCUCGAGUUGACUAAAUCACCAUUUUUGGCUAGACAAUGUUUAAAACUGUGUCAACUGUGUCAAUUUGCACGGCGCCUGGGACAAUGCAAUGUCAAAUCUUGCACUAUUUUAAACCACCACAAGAUAAGCAAGCUGAGUUGGCCCGGGCCUCUUGCCAGACGCUGGCAUCCACCUCGAAAUCUAUAUCAAUAUAUUUUUUGUAUCACAUGAAUCAUAUAGUAUUGGUCUAAAAUAUAUUUUCUCUUGUUGCAAAAUAUGAAAGAAAAAUCGGCACAACAAUAUUAUAUAGACCCAUCGCAACAAUAGCAUGCUUCACAGUCGGUGGGUCCCAUGUAAAGACAUUUGGAAAUACCUCAAAAAUGCAUAUGUGUACUAUUUAUUAUUGUCCAAGAAUUUCACAUGCUCACUCACAACAAACUGUUGAAGAAUUCCGUGCAACUUAGAAACUAACGUAUGCAACAACGCGAGCACAACAUUUGUGUUAGGACUAACAAAAUUACAUUACAUUGUAGCAUGUCACACAUGUGUAUGUAGUAUGACGCAAAUGAGUUCACAGCAUACCAAAACAACGAAUGGUAACUACAAAAAAUUCCCAUAAAUCUAACAUUUUACAACCAAAAAAUUUGGUGGGCACUGACCUCACCUCAUCAAACUUGCUCUAAUAUUCUAGUUAGUGUAGAGUUUUGGAUUAAGCUAAAGUUGCUCUAGUAUUAUGCCACAACAAAAAGGAAAGAAAUGGGGGAAAACAAAGAAGAGCGGAGCAGGGUGGCUUACUCGGAUCUAAGUCGGCCAAUAUCAAUCGCAUUGCCCUCCUAAAUCCUGAUUACUCAAGCCAGCCCAAAAUUGAGGGGCUACUAAAAUAGAAGUUGAGCCUAUGGUGCAAGAACAGAAAAGCCAUUGGAUUGGAUAUGGAUAGCACAUGAUCUGGUGGAGCGAUCUCAGGCCACUUUUUGUAUAUUUUAUGAAAAAACCCUAUUAACAGUUAGGUACAAAACAAAACAUUCGCAGUGACCACCUUAAGUAUCUCAUCUCCCAAUCCAAUAGUGGAGUUAACGACCAUUUACAGAUUUCAGGUUUUUUCCAGCGACCAUUUAUAGAAUUUGCACAACCUCAUAUCCUAUCAGUUUUAUAAAAUAUAUUUUCACAUACCGAGCACAAAUAUAUGGUUGUAAGAAUGAAGAACUCAUACUCAUGCUUGUUUUAAUUCUAGUAUUUACACCCCUAAGGUUGUUAAGGUCCGGUUACAAAAACUCGAAUUUAAUUCUCUUAUAAGAACUUGUUAGAGUCCUGUCAUAGUGCACAUCCUCUCGUGGAUUCGAUAACUCAAGGUUGCUCCUUCGGGAAAAGGGAGGGAAACCUUUGUUGUCCAAACCGGAUCUCAAAGAGCACCACCCAUCUCUCACCCUACUCGAUGAUACAACAUCGACGACCAGGUACGUGUGUAACCAACCGUCUGCUCCCUCGCUCUGUCACUGUGGUGCUAUUCAUUACAUCAAGUCGGGACCCAUUUCCUUCCUUUUGAGGUUAACAAUUAAGGUUUCUAGUCUAUAUGAGGGCCUUCGGAUUCAACUUAUAAGAAUGUUAGUUCAAAUUUAAUGAUGAUUAUUUCAAGUGGAUGGUUAUGUGAACUAGGUUGGUAGAGUGGUGGCCGACCACUGUUGCGGCGGACUUCAGGGAUGUUUGAUCUAUCCACCUGGCUUGAUCAAGCAGCGUCGACAUUUGUGCAUCAUUAUUUUGUUGAAUAUGUUCGUUCGAUUUGCUUGUUGCAGGGGUGAUAGCCUCUGGUCCGACGUUUGGUUACACGAGACAAUAAGCUCCCCUUGCAAAAGUGUAUGAUGUGGGAAUUACGUGUUGUACUCCUCAGGUGCAAACGCACGUAUAUAUGAUGUACAGGAGUAGGCCACGACCUCAAUUAUACAAGGCAACUAGGAGGUGGGCCCAAUACACAAAUAUGCACAACAAAGACUGGACCGGAACUCCUCAAAAUGAUGCCGUAGGCAAGUCCUUGGUCAUGGUAUAUGCAAAUUGUUGGGAAGUAGGGACGUGUAAAACACGAAUAUGGCCAAGGGCCACCUAUUCCCGAACAAAAUGAAUAUCCAACUCAAUAUGCUUGGUCCGUCGAUGAUGCACCGGGUUAGCGGAGAGGUAGACUGCCGAGACGUUGUCGCAAUAGACCACCGUGGCACGGUCAACAGGGAAAGAGAGCUCCUGAAGCAGCUGGCGAAGCCACGAACACUCGGCGACGGUGUUGGCCACCGCAGGAUACUCAGCCUCAGCGUUGGAACGAGAGACCGUAGGCUGCCGCGUGGAUGACCACGAGAUAAGUGAGGGUCCAAGGUAGACACAAUAGCCCGAGGUGGAGCGACGAGUUUUAGGGCAGCCCGCCCAGUCUGCAUUGAAGUAGGCGGCGAGGGCAGUGUCGGCGGAGGCAUGAAGCGUGACACCAAGAUCCAUAGUGCCACAGACAUAGCGGAGAAUCCGUUUGACAACGGCCCAGUGCAUCUCGAGGAGCAUGCAUAUGAAGACACACCUGCUGCACGACAUACUGGAUCUCUGGUUGAGUUAAAGUGAGGUACUGAAGAGCACCAACAAUAGACCGAUAAAAAGCAGCAUCCGAAGCAGGAGAACCAUCCGUGGCAGAAAGCUUGGCCUUUGUAUAAACAGGCGUAGCAGCGGGCUUGUAGUUAAGCAUGUUGGCCCGCUCCAGGAGCUCAUGAGCAUACUUCCGCUGAUGAAAGAAGAAGCCAUCCGGACGGCACACCACCUCGACACCGAGGAAGUUGUGCAAAGGACCCAAGUCCUUGAUGGCAAACUCAGCGCGAAGACGAGCCAUGAGCUGACCGAGGAGACCAACCAUACAUGCCGUCAGGAUGACGUCGUCGACAUAGAGCAGAAAGUAGGCCGUGUUAGAGCCCUGAUGAUAGACGAAGAGCGAGGCGUCCGAGCGGGUGGAGCGGAACCCAAGCUGGUGGAGAAACGCUGCGAUGCGCUGGUACCAAGCACGCAGAGCCUUCUUAAGUUCAUACAAGGACCGCGAAAGCAGGCACACGUGGUCGGGAAGCGCCGGGUCAACAAACCCGGUGUGCUGCUGGCAGAAGACCUGCUACUCCAGGUGACCAUGGAGCAAGGCGUUGGAGACGUCCAUCUGGUGCACCGGCCAAGCACGGGAGACUGCAAGGUGGAGAACCGUGUGUAUCGUGUCGGGCUUGACGACCAGAGCGAAGGUGUCGAUGAAGUCGAUGCCAGCACGCUGUCGGAAGCCACGAACGACCCAACGCGGUUUGUAGCGAUCAAAGGUACCAUCGGGACGGAGGUUGUGUUUGAAGACCCACUUCCCGGUAAUCACGUUGGCGUGCUGAGGACAGGAAACAAACAUAGAAGAUUUGACUUUAGAAAAAAAAUAGUACAACUUAUCUAUACCUAAUAUUAAAGGACGGAGAUUUUUAUAGUUCUCCAUACAUCUAACUUUAUUAAUAGUCUUCAUCGGCCCACCGGAGCAAGACAAUAAGUAGGCCUGGAAACACUCGAUUCAAUGGGCCUGAAAAAUAAACGGGCAUGCAUCCUCUCUCGCUCAUCUCUCUCCUCUCGAACCCCUCAUAAAAAAUUUCUCUCCUCUCGAUCCCUUCGCUCUCUACUACGAGCGCUCCUGGGGCAGACAUGUUCUCCCUUCUCUCUACCGCUGCGGAUGGCCCAACUUGACUCCGAGACGAACUCUGCUCGAGCACGCACCCAUAGGGUGUCCCGACAGGUUCUUUGCGGUUCCGCAGGCUGGUCUAGGAACAUAUAGAAACAAAUUGACGCCAUCAAACGAAGCCCCAGCUCAAUUGCCUGGUUGCGGAGUGCGGCGGCAUGUCGAGCCGAACGCCGGCAAGAUCAUACAGGAUGAGGCAGUAGAUGCCAACGAUAGUGUGCGUCACCCAACUCGACGCAGGCGAGGAAGAUGAGCAGGACGGCGUUGGAGCUCAGCAGGGCGCCGACGAGAACGUACGGGAAGAGGCGGUAGACGCCGAUGGCGGUGUAGGUAACCCACCCAGCUCGACGAAGGUGAGGAAGAUGAGUAGGACGGGGGGUAGCCGGGGAUUUGAAGAGGACUCGGAAGGGCUACACGAGCAUGACCAGGUCGUCACUGAAUCGGAUCCGUCACCUCAUGCGGCUGAGCUGUUAGAGGACGAUGCAGAGGCUCUGGUCAAAGGCGACCAUGAUGGAUGUGUCACCGCCGGCCACGCGAUAGAGGAAGAAGGUGAGGCUCAAGAGCCGGCCAGCCGAGUGGACGUGCCGGUGCAGUUGUGACCGCUCGGGAGGUUGAAGGCAAGCGAGGGAGCUCAUGCGGCGACGUCGGCAAGGCUCGGUGGCGAGAUAGCGCAGAAGAGCGGUGCAGCGGAGCGACAACCACGAUGCUAGGGCGUUGCGGAGAGAAAGGAUGAAGAGAGAUAGGGCAAGGGAGUCCUACUGCUGGUGGAGGCACGCAGGAGGAGCUCGAGCAUCAGUUGGCGGGCGAAGCAAGGAGUCGCAGGGCUUUCCAGCGACUAUGAUGGUGCGGGUUGAUCUGGGGAGGCUGGGAGAGCUGCCUCCUAGGGGCGCUGGUUCGGGUUGACGUGUGCGUCAUGUGCACUGCUACAAAAUUGCUGGAUAUGUGUAUCUAUAUGUGUGCGGCUGCGAUUUGAAAGUCGUAGCAAUGCACAGGCUUAUAAUUAAAUAAUUAUAUAUCUUUACUUGUUCAGUAGCAACACAUGCUAGCAAGCAGCAGAGACAGUAUACUAUGUUGGCGAUCAUUUGGCGAGCGAGCAGUUGAAUUGCUGCUGGCAUGCAUUGUGCAGGGGCAUGUUCGCUUGGGUCUUGGGACGAAAUCGACUGAGUCAAUAAAUAAUUUUUUAAAAGGAUAUUAGACCCUCGGCCUCUGCAUCAUUCAUUAUGAUGCACACAAAUAUUUUUAGCAAAGUUAGCCAUGGGUCGAACCAUUAGAUAUCAAAUAGACAUCUACAACUAAGUCGACUUCUGCUGCAACAUCUCUUCAAGAAGGGAUAAACUUUCUCGCCAUCGACCGAAACAAUCCGUAAGAAGAAGAAAAUGAUCACACAUGUGAAACAUAAUUGUCAAUACAAAUACAUGACACAUGGUGGUACGAACACACAUCACGAUGGAAGAAUACCAGCAACUUAAAAGCAAGCCUACAUCAAAUCUAUAUUUCAUUAGUAUUUAGUCCAUAUUUUUAUUUCUAUCAACCUAAACUCCAAUUACGUUAAAAUUUAGGUUUGAACUGCAGAUAUGAGAUUUCGAAUUUAAAGAUUGAACGUAUAUUUAAAGUUCUCAUAGUAUGUGUCUAUUUUUUGGGGUGUCUUUUUACUCGAUAGGAAUCCAAUUCAAUGCUCAAAAUCAAAUAACAAGAUUAUUGCUACAUAUUUUGAUAAAGCUAAAUUUUACUUGAAUUUUGGAUGUAGUUUAGACAAAUAAUUCUCACUAAAUCUUACUAUGGGCCAAUUUUUCUCUACCGUUGCAACACACCGGAUCGAGAGUUUCCAAGAAAACAUUGUCAGUCAGAUGCAUUUACUCCAGAUCAUAACUCAUGUCCUAAGCUUCACGUCGUGAUCCUCAAAUCAUGCAUCUUUUUAUUUUCUCAUCAUCAACCGUUGUGACAUGACACAGUUCCUCGACCUGGCCAACCAUGGUUCAUAGGAACUGGUAUAUUUCUCCCGCUGCAACGCACGGGCAUUCGUGCUAGUAUUUUGAAACGGGAGUUAGUAGGUACACCAAUAAUUCGAUAUACCCACAAAAUGCUGGCUCUAGUUCCUUUCAUGGCUCCUUUGAUGUAAGAAAGAUGCUAGUAGUGACUAGAGACAAAGGGAAUCAAAUUAUGGGAGGAGGCGGCCCUAUCUAUAUUCCUCUUCUCCAAGCGGUAGCUCCCGUCCAUCCUUUGCCAAAAGUGGAGCAUCUCUCAUUUCCUUCUUCAUCUUCUCCUCCUCCUCCUUUCUUGAUGCUCACUCGCCUAUAAAUAGCUCUCGCUGCCUGCCAUUGUUACUCAAGCUAGCAAGCAAGAAGCACAAAAGAAGCCAACACCAAUCAAGGCCUCCAUCCAAUCCCAAGCAACCUCGAAGAUGUCUUGCUGCGGAGGAAGCUGCGGCAGCGCCUGCAAGUGCGGCAACGGCUGCGGCGGCUGCAACAUGUACCCCGAGGUCGAGGCCGCCGGCGCCACCCUCCUCGUCGCCGCCACCGCCACCCACAAGGCGUACGUCCCUUCUCUUUCCUCAUACAUCAUGCGCCUCGCUGUAAUAUGACUAUAUAUGUUGAUCUUGCUAUGGGACUAAGGAUGGAUGGAUGGGUGCAGGAGCUCCGGCGGGAUGGAGAUGGCGGCGGAGAAUGGCGGCUGCGGCUGCAC